rnacentral:tRNA from 1 species
AGAAAAAACUUAGAGUAAAACAGGGCUGCUAACUUUGUUUUGGGUGGUUCGCCCCAUCCUUUUUCUU